rnacentral:rRNA from 1 species
AUGGAGCUUAAUUUUCACCUCUGUGAUACUGAUGGUGACCUCCUGCCUGAUCCGACGUGUUAUCGUCAUCUUGUUGGCAGUCUUGUCUAUCUAGCUGUCACUCAUCCGGAUAUCUCUUAUCCGGUUCAUAUUUUGAGUCAGUUUGUCUCUGCUCCCACCUCGGUUCACUAUAGUCACCUCCUUCAUGUUCUCUGA